CCGACGGGGCGUUCGGCAGAGGCCGGGCUGAGAAGAACCCGUUGAACCUGAACCGGAUCAUACCGGCGGAGGAAUUCGGAUAA
rnacentral:ncRNA from 1 species